GAGGUUCUGGAAGCAGAGAAGAACAUGUGAAAAUACAACGAUCCAUUUGGUUUUCCCUUCCUCCCACAAAAUGUAAAUGCUGGAAGUGAAACUGCUGGGUCAUGUAAGUCCAGAUGAAGAAACACAACCUUCUACUUACGAGAUAUUCCUGAGGGCAUCUGGAGCCGGAUGGAGUGCGAGGAAGAGUCCCUAAGAAUCCCUCGGCUCCCCUUUCAUGGAAGCUUGUACCCUCUAAGGCCGGGAUGUUCAGAACUGGCUCAGUAGAGCCACGAGUCUCCCCAUCUCCAGUCUCUCAGUUUCCCCCAGCUCCCUUAAUCGGAAAAGCUCCACUUUUUUUGUUACCUAUUAAAAUUUGGCUGUAAAAAUCUGCUGGAAUGGUCAUUCAUAAACCAUUGCCCUUGAAGAGGAAGGAAUCUGGUCACAAGCAAACCA